AAGCAGAGGGGGCUUAGUGGUGGGGUGACUGCGUACCUUUUGUAUAAUGGGUCAGCGACUUAUAUUCUGUAGCAAGGUUAACCGCAUAGGGGAGCCGAAGGGAAACCGAGUCUUAAUUGGGCGUUAAGUUGCAGGGUAUAGACCCGAAACCCGGUGAUCUAGCCAUGGGCAGGUUGAAGGUUGGGUAACACUAACUGGAGGACCGAACCGACUAAUGUUGAAAAAUUAGCGGAUGACCUGUGGCUGGGGGUGAAAGGCCAAUCAAACCGGGAGAUAGCUGGUUCUCCCCGAAAGCUAUUUAGGUAGCGCCUCGUGAACUCAUCUCCGGGGGUAGAGCACUGUUUCGGCUAGGGGGCCAUCCCGGCUUACCAACCCGAUGCAAACUGCGAAUACCGGAGAAUGUUAUCACGGGAGACACACGGCGGGUGCUAACGUCCGUCGUGAAGAGGGAAACAACCCAGACCGCCAGCUAAGGUCCCAAAGUCAUGGUUAAGUGGGAAACGAUGUGGGAAGGCCCAGACAGCCAGGAUGUUGGCUUAGAAGCAGCCAUCAUUUAAAGAAAGCGUAAUAGCUCACUGGUCGAGUCGGCCUGCGCGGAAGAUGUAACGGGGCUAAACCAUGCACCGAAGCUGCGGCAGCGACACUUUAGUGUUGUUGGGUAGGGGAGCGUUCUGUAAGCCGUUGAAGGUGUCCUGUGAGGGGUGCUGGAGGUAUCAGAAGUGCGAAUGCUGACAUAAGUAACGAUAAAGCGGGUGAAAAGCCCGCUCGCCGGAAGACCAAGGGUUCCUGUCCAACGUUAAUCGGGGCAGGGUGAGUCGACCCCUAAGGCGAGGCCGAAAGGCGUAGUCGAUGGGAAACGGGUUAAUAUUCCCGUACUUGGUGUUACUGCGAAGGGGGGACGGAGAAGGCUAUGUUGGCCGGGCGACGGUAGUCCCGGUUUAAGCGUGUAGGUGUGUGUUCCAGGUAAAUCCGGUUCACUUUAACACUGAGGCGUGAUGACGAGGCACCACGGUGCUGAAGCAACAAAUGCCCUGCUUCCAGGAAAAGCCUCUAAGCAUCAGGUAACAUCAAAUCGUACCCCAAACCGACACAGGUGGUCAGGUAGAGAAUACCAAGGCGCUUGAGAGAACUCGGGUGAAGGAACUAGGCAAAAUGGUGCCGUAACUUCGGGAGAAGGCACGCUGACAC
rnacentral:rRNA from 1 species